GAUGAACGCUAGCGGCAGGCCUAACACAUGCAAGUCGAGGGGUAGAGGAAGCUUGCUUCCUUGAGACCGGCGCACGGGUGCGUAACGCGUAUGCAAUCUGCCUUGUACUGAGGGAUAGCCCAGAGAAAUUUGGAUUAAUACCUCAUAGCAUUAUGAAAUCGCAUGGUUUUAUAAUUAAAGUUCCAACGGUACAAGAUGAGCAUGCGUCCCAUUAGUUAGUUGGUAAGUUAACGGCUUACCAAGACGAUGAUGGGUAGGGGUCCUGUGAGGGAGAUCCACCACACUAGUACUGAGACACGGACCAGAAGCCUACGGGAGGCAGCAGUGAGGAAUAUUGGUCAAUGGACGCAAGUCUGACCCAGCCAUGCCGCGUGCAGGAUGAAGCAUCUAUGGUGUGUAAACUGCUUUUGUACGGGAAGAAACACUCCUACGUGUAGGAGCUUGACGGUACCGUAAGAAUAGGAUCGGCUAACUCCGUGCCAGCCGCCGCCGUAACAC
rnacentral:rRNA from 1 species